GAGGCCUGCCUGGGAGUGGGACUGAGAGCAGUGGCUCUGAGCAGAAGAUGGAGAUGGUCAAGGCCCCACAUCGAGGGUUGCAAUCUUGUCAUCCAUAACUCUUAUAAGAAUGAGCCCUGGCCUGGAAGAGAGGCCAAAUGUCUAAUCAGCAGGCCUGGAACACCGCCGGUGCCAAGAAAGAGCCAAGCAGCCACUCCCUGGGGCUGGCUGCAGAUGAGGCCCUUGUGGUUUCCCCACUCACUGACUACGGGGAGGAGGGUGUGCAAGGACUUUGUCUGGGAAGAAUCUUUGCAUCUGUAGCUCAACAGGCUUCUCUCUCCAGGCCCCUGGGUUUCAAAAGACUGUGACUUCCACCUUGGUUUGCUCGGUCUGAUGAAGGAACUUUGAGCUGUGAGCUGCACUGUGAACUUUGCUGUGAGCUGCCCUGUGAUGGGAGAGGAGGCCUCCGCCUCACAGCCCUGGAGGACCUCAAUGCUGCCAACGUGUGACCAGAUGCAGAUCCUUCUCCAGUCAAGCCUGGACAUGACAUGACAGCAGCCCUGGGGACCUUGAUGCUGUGGCCUGUGCAAGACCCUGAGCCAGCCGCACCCAGAUCCCUCACCCACAGAAACUGCCAGAUUUUAAGUCUUCUGCUUGUAAGCCACUCUUUUUGCCAUAGUUUGUGUGCAGCAAUAGAUAACUGCUCUA
ensembl:lncRNA novel transcript, antisense to CACNA2D4